CAAAGGUAUACUGUAAGCUGUUGCCAAAGGCUCCUUGUAUUCACUUCAGCAGUGAACACAGCCCUUUAACAGCACCUUCAGUGUCCUGGGCUGCAAGGAGAGGGCCCCGUGGAAAACCCAAGUACCAGAACUCUGGCAAGGGUUAGAGAGACUCCUCACCUCCCCAGUUUCAAUCCUUGAAGGAAGCCUAUUUCACCCAUAUGCAUUUACAAGGAAGGUUCUAGACCUUUCUAAUGUUGGCUUGAGCAUGGCCCAGCAGUGCACAGGAAUUGUGGCAUUUUCUGAGAGAAGAGCGCCACCAUCAGGAAGAGAGUGUAGAGGCACCGGGGAAGGGCAGAAAUCCGAAAAGCUGGCUUCUAAUUUCAACGCCGGAAAGUGCAGGCAGGCCACUUAUUCCCUCUAACGUCUGGUUUCCCAAUUUCAAAAUACAAUAAUAAUGCAUUCUUGAAUUUAUGUCACAUAAACUAGCUAGUGUGAGCUAAUGAAGGCGACUACUUGGACAAGUUAAAAGUAUAUAAAUGUAGGCUACUGAUGUGACUAAAAUUACAGACCCUGGUUAUGUCUAAUGGACUACCUACAAGAUUAUGAAUGCCCAAAUACAGAUGGCAUAGAAAAAAAAAAUCACAAAAGGGACUGGGGUAUUUUCCUUUAUGACCUGAGCCUCUCAAGAUGCUUCCUGAGGAACAGAAUACACAUUCUGGGCUGUGUCUACUUCAUUAUUGUCUGUUUACCUGAAUUAUGGCAGCAUGACUGAUUGAGACGAGACAUAAUGUUAUUUAACUGUAAAUUUGUUGCACAACCUAUUGAACACGAAGUCAAAGUAAGUUAUGAUUGAACAAUGGAAAUAAAUAGCUAUAAAUACAAUGGCAAUGUGAAAAUCAAAAUAGAGCAGGCUAUUAUUUUGUUCUGACAUUAAUUGUAUAAUAAUACCUAUAUUUAAGGCUGUGACUCAAUUUUGUGUGUCAAGUCAGAAAAACAAUUGAUAUAAAAUAUCUGAAUUAGUAGUGGCUGCUUUUCAUUGUCACCAGCUUCUUCUGUCCAAGAAUCUCUGUAAAUAAAUUUUGAUGCGGCAAACAUGCCCAAGGUCGUAGGUUAGAUAAUGGUUAUCCAUAGCAAAUGGGUUUAAAUGCAUUCAGAAAAGGUCUAGCUGUUUGAACCUAAAAUAACCUAGUACUCUAAAGAUCACAAUUCUUUGUCCCUCCAACGCUGAGAUGCUAAAGUGCCACCAGCUUGGGUACUAAUUUAAGACAGAGUAAGACUGGCUUGAGGUGUGGGGAGAGCUAGGAAGAUGAGUAGGGUGGAGUCAACUAAAGGACAGUGGAGAGAAUGUGUUUGGGGGCUUAGUGGGUAAGAGAGGACCUGGAAGGAGAGUGUGGAAAGCAGCCAGAUAGAACGAACCUGAUUCUAUGUGGCCAUGAUGUGUGACACGUAGGAGGCAAAAUAGGGCAAUGGGUAAUCUCCUGCACUCGUUCUCCUAGUUAAACUAGUAAAAUUUACUCCCAUUAGAUGAGAUUAGUUAUCUGGAGAUGUUACCUUAAGGGGCAGGAUGAAAUCCAGGGUCUAGAAAUCUAAUCAAGGUGAGUGUGGCUGGAAUGUGGGAAGAUGGCUGAGGCUCAGUCAAUGGUGUUGAUAAACCCAAAGAGGGAAAUAAUGUGUUCUGCUGAAAUCUAUGCAUGGGUGGGAGCAGAGGGCGGAAUGGACAAAGAAGAAUCUGUCCCUGUGUCCUCGACGCUGUCCAGAGGAAGAAGUGGUCAGGUUUUUUGCCUUACUUGGCAGGUAAGUAUAGCUCCACUCUGGGCACUAUAUUUUAUAGCACGCGUAUGUCUCUAACUAUAUGGUGUGAUGACAUUAGAUCUUCCAUCUACCACCUUCUCUGGUCCCAUGAGCUCCUGACUCUAAAAUGCUUUGCCAACCUACUCUCCUGCAGAGAAGAAUGUGCAGGUAAUCAAGAAAAGCAAGUACCCAGGUUGGCAUGGCAGUACUCUAUCCCACUGUAAAUUAAUAAAUUACAUUGGCAAUCUGUUUUAUGCAGUAAUUUCCUCCAAGAUUUUUUUCAUUCCCUAGAACAGGUGUCCAAGUUACAUCCACCUAAGGAAACAUGGACAAAAUCAACUUUCUCAAUCUGCAAAACUGAGGUGAUCCUGGGUUAGGAUUGCAAAAAGAAAAUAAAAAAAGGAGGAGAAAGGAACGAGGAAGGUAUAUAAGACAUAUUAGAAAGACACAGUUAUCCCAUAUACUGGCACAAGAAAAAAAAAAAGAUACCAAUGAAACUGAGUACAGAAUAAUAGAACUGUAAUAGACUCCAUGUAUGUAGAAGAAUAUAUACAACAAAAUUAUAUAUUGAUAAAUAACAAGAACUAAGCACUUUCAGUAUGCCUAGGAACAUCUCAUUUCUUCUUCAUUGUGACUUGGAGUCCUAUUAAGUAGUUGCCUAUGUCACAAAGCCGGUGUGUGACAGAGCCGGGAUUCAGACCACUGCAGUCAGGCCCCAGAGCCCAUGCCCUUGACCAGUGCGCUGCGUGUUGUCUCAGGGCAUCACAAUCCUCAUGGACAGGAAUAAUGUUCUCUAGUGGCUGGUGCUGGGAAAACGUCUUUAUUACGUUAAGAAAAAAAAAAUCAAGUUGGAUUACUACAUCCCUAGAUUAUGCUAUAAACCACAAAGUAGAAUGUAAAUAGAUUAAGGACCUAAGUAUGAAAGAAAUUGGAGGGGUUAAUGAGAGGAAUUACCAACAAAGCAAAGUUGAAGUGAUGGGAAACUUCAAAGAAAGUGCUACUUGGUGUUCAUAAGAGUCAGACAAAGAACGGCUGGGUAGAGUCAUUUCUAAUCAUUCAAGCUUACUAAUUUCCAGAUUCCCAGAGCCACCCCGGGGGGCUUCAGAUUCCACAGGCCUAGGGAUGACCCAGACAUUUUUCCAAUUUUAAAGCAAGCUGUGCCACAGACUAUACUUCUCAAGAUUUGGGGACGCAAAGUUCUGAAAGUUCAGAGGAAAAAAUGAUACGGUCCCAUGACCAGAGUCUAAGACAAAAAGAUGGCUUAAGGGAGAAGUGAGGUACCCAACAAUGAAACGUUGACGAUAAAAGUGUAAAGUUAAUAUGGGUGAGUUAAAAUGCAGUGGAGGAUGUGGGGAUGUAAAUAAUGGCAUGUGGCUGAUGACACAGGAAUGAUACAACAGAGGAGAAAAGCACACAAUCAGAAACCAAUACAAAGAGGAUUGGCUUAAGAACAGUGUCAGGAGGGGUUAAAUCUGAGAAUGAGCUCAAGCUUGAGAAAAAUGCAGAGGACAAUAAAAGGAAUUGUUAACGUAUGUUUAGAGUGAAUGCAAGGAAUGAUUCACAUCCCCCUGGGGGCAGAUAUUAUAGUAUUAGCAGAUGAUAGUAAAAGAGAACAGAAACUGUUAGCAUUCUGUUCGCUCCCACCUUCCCUAUCAGAGGGAAUGAUCUUCAAACCAGGCCACAAAACAACAGAUUAAGAAGGAACUGAAGCCUGAGAGAUAGGACUAAAAGGGAGCAGCAUCUAGCUGCUUUCUUUAGGUUCCUAUCUCCAGGCCCAAAUGAACCUUAUCCAAGUUCACUGAAGGAACUGGAAGAUAUGACCAUAGAACUUUUGUGGUGCUCUCGGAGCAAGCCUGGAAGACACGGGGGAGGGCAGAAGAGUAAGCCUAGACAAACGGCGUGAGUUUUAAGGCGGGGCGAGUAAUCGGGGAGGGGAGGAGAUACAUUUUAAAAAAUAGUGGAAGAGUGAGUUUCAAGUUCCUGGAUGAAUCAUUAAAUAGACGGCUUAUAGAAACUCGAGAGAAAAAGAAUGAGAACGGGGUAAUUACUAGGGACUAAAAAGGACUCACUAAUAACAGCUUGUGCCAAACUCACCUCCUUUCUAUUUCUAAAAGAUUCACUGUAGGAGGUGAGGGAUGUUGGAAUUACUUUCAAAAGUUCAUCAGGUGAUUCCGCCAUUCAGCUAGGUAUAGGGACAUUGCUAAAUAGGCAGGAAGACCCCUCCAAAGCCAACGAUCCAGUUACAGUAUGCUUUUUUUUUUUUUUAUCAAUGACAUCACUGCAUCUAUGGCCUCUUGUUUUAUUUCUGUUUCUUCUACUUUAACCUUUCUUAAAACUUCCUAACAUUUCAACAAAAGAGGAACAUGACACCAUGGAUUCUUUUCCUUAAUCUUUAUUCUAACAA